rnacentral:rRNA from 1 species
GGGUUGUGAGGUUAAGCGACUAAGCGUACACGGUGGAUGCCCUGGCAGUCAGAGGCGAUGAAGGACGUGCUAAUCUGCGAAAAGCGUCGGUAAGGUGAUAUGAACCGUUAUAGCCGGCGAUGUCCGAAUGGGGAAACCCAGUGCAAUUCGUUGCACUAUCGUUAACUGAAUACAUAGGUUAACGAGGCGAACCGGGGGAACUGAAACAUCUAAGUACCCCGAGGAAAAGAAAUCAACCGAGAUUCCCCCAGUAGCGGCGAGCGAACGGGGAGCAGCCCAGAGUCUGAAUCAGCUUGUGUGUUAGUGGAACGGUCUGGAAAGUCCGACGGUACAGGGUGAUAGUCCCGUACACCAAAAUGCACAGGUUGUGAACUCGAAGAGUAGGGCGGGACACGUGGUAUCCUGUCUGAAUAUGGGGGGACCAUCCUCCAAGGCUAAAUACUCCUGACUGACCGAUAGUGAACCAGUACCGUGAGGGAAAGGCGAAAAGAACCCCGGCGAGGGAGUGAAAAGAACCUGAAACCGUGUACGUACAAGCAGUGGGAGCACCUUCGGGUGUGACUGCGUACCUUUUGUAUAAUGGGUCAGCGACUUAUAUUCUGUAGCAAGGUUAACCGUAUAGGGAGCCGCAGGAAACCGAGUCUUAACUGGGCGUUAAGUUGCAGGGUAUAGACCCGAAACCCGGUGAUCAGCCAUGGGCAGGUUGAAGGUUGGGUAACACUAACUGGAGGACCGAACCGACUAAUGUUGAAAAAUUAGCGGAUGACUUGUGGCUGGGGGUGAAAGGCCAAUCAAACCGGGAGAUAGCUGGUUCUCCCGAAAGCUAUUUAGGUAGCGCCUCGUGAAUUCAUCUUCGGGGGUAGAGCACUGUUUCGGCUAGGGGGUCAUCCCGACUUACCAACCCGAUGCAAACUACGAAUACCGAAGAAUGUUAUCACGGGAGACACACGGCGGGUGCUAACGUCCGUCGUGAAGAGGGAAACAACCCAGACCGCCAGCUAAGGUCCCAAAGUCAUGGUUAAGUGGGAAACGAUGUGGGAAGGCACAGACAGCCGGAUGUUGGCUUAGAAGCAGCCAUCAUUUAAAGAAAGCGUAAUAGCUCACUGGUCGAGUCGGCCUGCGCGGAAGAUGUAACGGGGCUAAACCAUGCACCGAAGCUGCGGCAGCGACACUAUGUGUUGUUGGGUAGGGGAGCGUUCUGUAAGCCUGCGAAGGUGUGCUGUGAGGCAUGCUGGAGGUAUCAGAAGUGCGAAUGCUGACAUAAGUAACGAUAAAGCGGGUGAAAAGCCCGCUCGCCGGAAGACCAAGGGUUCCUGUCCAACGUUAAUCGGGGCAGGGUGAGUCGACCCCUAAGGCGAGGCCGAAAGGCGUAGUCGAUGGGAAACAGGUUAAUAUUCCUGUACUUGGUGUUACUGCGAAGGGGGGACGGAGAAGGCUAUGUUAGCCGGGCGACGGUUGUCCCGGUUUAAGCAUGUAGGCUGGUUGUCCAGGCAAAUCCGGAUAAUCAAGGCUGAGGUGUGAUGACGAGGCACUACGGUGCUGAAGUAACAAAUGCCCUGCUUCCAGGAAAAGCCUCUAAGCAUCAGGUAACAUUAAAUCGUACCCCAAACCGACACAGGUGGUCAGGUAGAGAAUACCAAGGCGCUUGAGAGAACUCGGGUGAAGGAACUAGGCAAAAUGGUGCCGUAACUUCGGGAGAAGGCACGCUGGUGUGUAGGUGAAGUCCCUGCGGAUGGAGCUGAGACCAGUCGAAGAUACCAGCUGGCUGCAACUGUUUAUUAAAAACACAGCACUGUGCAAACACGAAAGUGGACGUAUACGGUGUGACGCCUGCCCGGUGCCGGAAGGUUAAUUGAUGGGGUUAUCCGUAAGGAGAAGCUCUUGAUCGAAGCCCCGGUAAACGGCGGCCGUAACUAUAACGGUCCUAAGGUAGCGAAAUUCCUUGUCGGGUAAGUUCCGACCUGCACGAAUGGCGUAAUGAUGGCCAGGCUGUCUCCACCCGAGACUCAGUGAAAUUGAACUCGCUGUGAAGAUGCAGUGUACCCGCGGCAAGACGGAAAGACCCCGUGAACCUUUACUAUAGCUUGACACUGAACAUUGAGCCUUGAUGUGUAGGAUAGGUGGGAGGCUUUGAAGCGUGGACGCCAGUCUGCGUGGAGCCAACCUUGAAAUACCACCCUUUAAUGUUUGAUGUUCUAACGUUGGCCCCUUACCGGGGUUGCGGACAGUGUCUGGUGGGUAGUUUGACUGGGGCGGUCUCCUCCCAAAGCGUAACGGAGGAGCACGAAGGUUAGCUAAUCCUGGUCGGACAUCAGGAGGUUAGUGCAAUGGCAUAAGCUAGCUUGACUGCGAGCGUGACGGCGCGAGCAGGUGCGAAAGCAGGUCAUAGUGAUCCGGUGGUUCUGAAUGGAAGGGCCAUCGCUCAACGGAUAAAAGGUACUCCGGGGAUAACAGGCUGAUACCGCCCAAGAGUUCAUAUCGACGGCGGUGUUUGGCACCUCGAUGUCGGCUCAUCACAUCCUGGGGCUGAAGUAGGUCCCAAGGGUAUGGCUGUUCGCCAUUUAAAGUGGUACGCGAGCUGGGUUUAGAACGUCGUGAGACAGUUCGGUCCCUAUCUGCCGUGGGCGCUGGAGAAUUGAGGGGGGCUGCUCCUAGUACGAGAGGACCGGAGUGGACGCAUCACUGGUGUUCGGGUUGUCAUGCCAAUGGCACUGCCCGGUAGCUAAAUGCGGAAGAGAUAAGUGCUGAAAGCAUCUAAGCACGAAACUUGCCCCGAGAUGAGUUCUCCCUGAGACUUUAAGUCUCCUGAAGGAACGUUGAAGACGACGACGUUGAUAGGCCGGGUGUGUAAGCGCAGCGAUGCGUUGAGCUAACCGGUACUAAUGAACCGUGAGGCUUAACCUUACAACGCCGAAG